rnacentral:rRNA from 1 species
AUUGAACGCUGGCGGCAUGCCUUACACAUGCAAGUCGAACGGCAGCAUGAUCUAGCUUGCUAGAUUGAUGGCGAGUGGCGAACGGGUGAGUAAUACAUCGGAACGUGCCCUGUAGUGGGGGAUAACUAGUCGAAAGAUUAGCUAAUACCGCAUACGACCUGAGGGUGAAAGUGGGGGACCGCAAGGCCUCAUGCUAUAGGAGCGGCCGAUGUCUGAUUAGCUAGUUGGUGAGGUAAAGGCUCACCAAGGCGACGAUCAGUAGCUGGUCUGAGAGGACGAUCAGCCACCAUGGGACUGAGACACGGCCCAGACUCCUACGGGAGGCAGCAGUGGGGAAUUUUGGACAAUGGGGGCAACCCUGAUCCAGCAAUGCCGCGUGUGUGAAGAAGGCCUUCGGGUUGUAAAGCACUUUUGUCCGGAAAGAAAUCGCACUUACUAAUAUUAGGUGUGGAUGACGGUACCGGAAGAAUAAGGACCGGCUAACUACGUGCCAGCCGCCGCAGUAACAC